rnacentral:rRNA from 1 species
CCUACGGGGGGCUGCAGUGGGGAAUAUUGCACAAUGGGGGAAACCCUGAUGCAGCGACGCCGCGUGAGUGAAGAAGUAAUUCGUUAUGUAAAGCUCUAUCAGCAGGGAAGAAAAUGACGGUACCUGAGUAAGAAGCCCCGGCUAACUACGUGCCAGCAGCCGCGGUAAUACGUAGGGGGCAAGCGUUAUCCGGAUUUACUGGGUGUAAAGGGAGCGCAGACGGCAGUGCAAGUCUGGAGUGAAAGCCCGGGGCCCAACCCCGGAACUGCUCUGGAAACUGUGCGGCUAGAGUACUGGAGGGGCAGGCGGAAUUCCUAGUGUAGCGGUGAAAUGCGUAGAUAUUAGGAGGAACACCAGUGGCGAAGGCGGCCUACUGGACAGUAACUGACGUUGAGGCUCGAAAGCGUGGGGAGCAAACAGGAUUAGAUACCCUAGUAGUC